ACCGAGCCUCUGUAAAGCUCCUUCGACGAGUCGAGUAGUUUGGGAAUGCUGCUCUAAAUGGGAGGUAUAUGUCUUCUAAAGCUAAAUACCGGCCAGAGACCGAUAGCGCACAAGUAGAGUGAUCGAAAGAUGAAAAGCACUUUGAAAAGAGGGUUAAAAAGUACGUGAAAUUGUUGAAAGGGAAGCGUUUAUGACCAGACUUGGACCCGGUGAAUCAUCCAGCGUUCUCGCUGGUGCACUUUGCCGGGCUCAGGCCAGCAUCAGUUUGUCCCGGGGGAUAAAGGCUUAGGGAAUGUGGCUCCUCCGGGAGUGUUAUAGCCCUCUGCAUAAUACCCUGGGGCGGACUGAGGUUCGCGC
rnacentral:rRNA from 1 species